rnacentral:rRNA from 1 species
UACGAAGGGGGCUAGCGUUGCUCGGAAUCACUGGGCGUAAAGCGCACGUAGGCGGCUUACUAAGUCAGGGGUGAAAUCCUGGAGCUCAACUCCAGAACUGCCUUUGAUACUGGUGAGCUUGAGUUCGGGAGAGGUGAGUGGAACUGCGAGUGUAGAGGUGAAAUUCGUAGAUAUUCGCAAGAACACCAGUGGCGAAGGCGGCUCACUGGCCCGGUACUGACGCUGAGGUGCGAAAGCGUGGGGAGCAAACAGG